rnacentral:lncRNA from 1 species
AGUGCUUGGGUAUCGAGGCUCUGAGACUCCGGCCUCACCUCUCCACGGGGUCGAAGGGAACCUCUCCUGAUGACAGCAGUCGCAAAGGGCCGACCAUGAUGAUGAAACCCCAGGCGGAGACGGGGGAAGCAGCACGGGAUCCCAGCCUCAGGCCUGCACGGACGGUGUUGGUUGGGUCACUGUCAUGGCUAAGAAAGCAACUCCAACCCACACACUGCAAAUAUGAAGGACCACGAAAGGCACGCAGGCUCUGGUUUGCAUAGUGAAGAUGAGCGUCUGUGUUCCUAAGCAUGAAGGAGGACCACAUGAGUAUCCUGGACACCUACUGCAUGAAUGUAUUCGCCCUUUCAGAUCUAGGGACCUGGGUACCUUGGGACAGAGGGAGUGCAGAGCAGAGAAAACCUACCUGUGCAACUGAGAAGGCCGCUCAGGCCACGGGGACAGGGCAGGAAUGCUCUCAGGAGUGUCCCCUGAACCUGAACUUGAUUUCACGCCAUCACCUUCCACCUCUUAACCAGCAUCUCCUGGACAGUCAGCCGAGUGUUUCCAUGAUACCAGCCAUACCUGAUGCCAGGAGACUCGCUACACUUGGAAGCUCUUCAAGAUGUGUAUUGAAUUUGCAGAAGGCCUCUUUUCCAAAUGAUCAAUGAAUUUCAACACCAGAGUCUUGGAGUCAGACAAGGAAACUUUCAGUUUAACAGCCUCCCAGGAUGUCAACUGGAAGAUCAUGCCACUCCUGACAAUGAGAAGAGGAGUUCCCUGUGCAAGGGAAGCACAUGGUAGGGUUAAUGCUACAUGGAACAUGAACUCUGAAGACCCUCAUUUUGGUUUCCAUGAAGGUGGUGAAGGUUCUCCAAAUAAAAGCAUUUCCAAUAAGGGUGAAGAGUAGAGAGCAGUGAUGUUUCCAAAAAGUUUAGAAUUCCUCCUUCAAAUGACUUCCUAAUGAAUAUCAGAAGGCAAUGUGUGGAGUCACAAGUCAUUGGAAUGGCACCCACUGUGUAAUUUCAACAAAACACUUCAUCCCUCUGAGCCUCUGGUGGCUCAUCUGUAAAUUAAGGCAAAUUCUAUCUUCAAAUUUCUUCACUCUUUGAUCAACAACUUUUAUUCAACUUUGUUGAAAAGAACAAAAAAAUUGCAUCUCUGGUUGAAUUUGGUGGCUCUUUUUCUGGUUAAUAUAAAACGUGACUGUCAGAAUCCCAUCUCUAAA